AAAUGCAGUGGUAUGUUUGAUGUGGAGGAGUAGUCUAAUAGUAAGACAUGUAAUGAUUUUGGGAAAUACAGUAUAACGUACAUUUCAUGGUUUGCUUCACUGGAAACUAUAAUUGAAAUUCUAAUUUUUUGUUUUUUAAAUAAACACAGAGUGAAUUACUUCAAAAUGAUAUAUUAUUGCUUCCCUACCACACACCAGGUGAUUGGGUUAUUGCGAUAGCCUUGAUGGAAAAAAAGGAAUUGUUAAUAAUUGACCCCUUGUGUGAUGAGAUCAGAUAUGAAAGGACAUGCCUGAGGAAUUGGAGAAACUUCAUCAAACGAUUAACUAGUAAAUCCUCAUCUGAUUGGAACAGUAAAAUUGUUCUGCAUCCCAGACAAAGUGAUGGCCACAACUGCGGACCACUCAUCUUAAAGAAAGCGUGGAGGACUACUGCAUAUACUGCAACCGUAUCAACUGUGAAAAAGAAAAUGAGGAUUGCACGAUGGUCCAGUGUGAUUCUUGCAAGAGGUGGGCACAUAUACCCUGCAUUGCAGAAGGAACCAAUCAAGAAAACCUGACAGAUGAGAAGAGUACAACUGCAAGAAAUGUGCAUAGUUCACUUCAUUACCCCCAAAAAAAACCCAAUAGAAAAACCCAUAGUUUAAAUACCUUGUGGAAGCCAGUAAAUAAUUAACAAGGUUUUGAAGAGAUCUUAAUGAAUGUUAGUUAGCAUGAGUUAGGUUAACUGUGAC